AGGUGGAACUGGUUCUUCUGAGGACUGGCUGCUGGGCUAACAAGGAAGGCUGCCUUGGGAAGGCCCUCCCGAGGACCUAGAGGUCGUCUGGGAACAGAGCCCUCUUCCAGGGAGUCAGAGGAAAUUGGCCUCCAGUCUCCCAAGGCACCUGCAGUCUCUGUACAUCUGGCUUGCCUCCUUCCUGGUUCUACAGUUAUCAGACUCGUUCUCCUCAAGAGUCAGGCACAGUGAGUCCUAGCCCUAUAUUCUUUGAUACUUCUUGCGAGGGUGCAUUAAAAUCUC
rnacentral:lncRNA from 1 species